rnacentral:tRNA from 1 species
CAAAGUAUAGUUUAAAGUAAAACAUCUUCUUUACACGAAGAAAUUACUCGUUCAACCCGAGCUACCUUGA